rnacentral:rRNA from 1 species
GUGUCAGCAGCCGCGGUAAUACGUAGGGGGCGAGCGUUGUCCGGAUUUACUGGGCGUAAAGCGCGUGUAGGCGGCCGGAUAAGUCGGGUGUGAAAGCCCGGGGCUCAACCCCGGGAUGCCGCCCGAGACUGCUCGGCUUGAGGACGGAAGAGGGGCGUGGAAUUCCUGGUGUAGCGGUGAAAUGCGUAGAGAUCAGGAGGAACACCCGUGGCGAAGGCGGCGCCCUGGUCCGUUACUGACGCUGAGACGCGAAAGCGCGGGGAGCGAACGGGAUUAGAAACCCUUGUAGUCC